rnacentral:rRNA from 1 species
GAAACCGCGAAUGGCUCAUUAAAUCAGUUAUGGUUCCUUAGAUCGUUUCUUCCUACUUGGAUAACUGUGGCAAUUCUAGAGCUAAUACAUGCAGUGAGCCCGAAGCCCCUCGGGGCGACGGGUGCUUUUAUUAGACCAAGAUCAAUCGGGCUUCGGUCCGUUUUGUGUGGUGACUCUGGAUAACUUUGUGCUGAUCGCACGGCCACGAGCCGGCGACGUUUCUUUCAAGUGUCUGCCUUAUCAACUGUCGAUGGUAGGUUAUGCGCCUACCAUGGUUGUUACGGGUAACGGAGAAUCAGGGUUCGAUUCCGGAGAGGGAGCCUGAGAAACGGCUACCACAUCCAAGGAAGGCAGCAGGCGCGCAAAUUACCCACUCCCGGCACGGGGAGGUAGUGACGAAAAAUAACAAUACGGGACUCUUUUGAGGCCCCGUAAUUGAAAUGAGUACACUCUAAAUCCUUUAACGAGGAUCCAUUGGAGGGCAAGUCUGGUGCCAGCAGCCGCGGUAAUUCCAGCUCCAAUAGCGUAUACUAAAGUUGCUGCGGUUAAAAAGCUCGUAGUUGGAUCUCAGUUGCAGGCGGGAAGUGCGUGGACACCACGUUACGGCCCGUGCUGAACAUCAUGCCUGUUGUGGCUUGGUUCCCUUCAUCAGGUGCCUUGACAUGACCGGCGCGUUUACUUUGAAAAAAUUAGAGUGCUCAACGCAGGCGAUUCGCCUGAAUAACAGUGCAUGGAAUAAUAGAACAAGAUCCUGUUUCUGUUCUGUUGGUUUUUGGAAUACAGGAUAAUGAUUAAGAGGGACAGACGGGGGCAUUCGUAUUGCGGCGCUAGAGGUGAAAUUCUUGGACCGUCGCAAGACGAACUACUGCGAAAGCAUUUGCCAAGAAUGUUUUCUUUGAUCAAGAACGAAAGUUAGAGGUUCGAAGGCGAUCAGAUACCGCCCUAGUUCUAACCAUAAACGAUGCCAACCAGCGAUCCGCCUGAGUUACUCAAAUGACUCGGCGGGCAGCUUCCGGGAAACCAAAGUAUUUGGUCCG